GGGUAUUGUAAUAGGGAUGAACGUCUUUGACUGAUUACCGAAGUAUAGCCGAUUGAUAAACAUGCCGCCAAUCAAAAUGCAACAUAUAAAAUUCUUGGAAUGCUUCACCCACCUGCUGGGGGCAAGAUUAAUGAGGAAUCAAUAGCCAAUGGCGUCGAGCGUGCCAACGGCCCACACCGCUCCGUGCGCUCGCGCCGUGCGGCCGGCCCACGCGCAGGGCAUGUCAGCUGAUUUGGAAGAUGUACAUCAUCCCAGCAACAGUGUACACGGCCAUAAUUCAUGCGAGCUGGCAGGGCCGAGCAGUAAGGGGUGAGAACGUCUCAAGAGCUUGCUCUUGGCCUAAUACCCGUUCAUAUUUAGAAGAAUGGCGAUCAAUCAUAAGUGCUAUCUGGCUUCUGCUGCUUCAUUAGGAUGCUGGCGUCACCGUCCCUAGACAGGAGCAGGUGAGCAAAGGUGAAACGACAGUUCACUUAGAAAGUGGACUAUACACAUCAAUCACCAAAAGUGGACGUUAUAAUAAAUUCCUCAAAAUAAAGGCGCCUCCCAUGAACAAUGUGGAGUUUUGAGAAUUUGUCAUACUAUAUAACGUAAAACGAAAAGAAAAACUGUAUCCGGAUGACAGAUGCUAAGAAGCCACGUGACUUUUUCUAUACGCUAAAGUUUCGAUGGGCGUUUUCUACCAACGAUUAUCUUGGCUAGCCCCCCUAGAGAGAUAGUAUAGGUCCAGAGACAUCUCGUAUUCUCAGAUAUAUCUGAUGUCUUAAAAAUAGUCUGUUGGAAAACGGACCCAGGCAAAGGUCGGGAUAACACUAGGUAGAAGAAUGUCUGAUGUCUUAAAAGGCACAUAUUACUUGACGUGAAGUCAAUUCUAUCGAAAGAACUGUCGUUCAUUUGAACGUCAAUAUCAACAGCUAGUAAAAACUUGUGACAAAUGUUUACUUCGCUACGUGACUACAGCCACGGUUAAUCUGCCGAGAAAUACUGAGAAGAUUACACUAGUAGCGCGUGGAAAUUAGUGUUGGUUAAGAUUCAAGUCCUUUGAGUCCUCUGCUUUAAGACUCGACUCAGUUUUUCAGAGAUAGCUCUUAAUAUAAUAGUAAUAGUCUUUUAAAGAUAACUCUCAAAUUAUGUAAAAAAAAUUACGAAAAGGCUUUUUCUUCACAUUAAAUUCAUGGGUUAUGCAAAAAUCAUUAAAAAAUUACUAUUUUCCUUUGUUUCUCGUAGAUAAAACCAUAAAAGUCUUUAGAGUUAGAUCAAGCUAAGCUGUCAAAACCGCUGCCAACUUAUCGUGGUCUGACUCUAUUUGAAGAUUUGAGUCCUUUUAAGUUGCACUGAAAAAACUCAAUAAAGGACUCGACUCAGGACUUAAAAGAGUAGGAAGUUUUUUAAGCGCAUAGUCGCUUAAAAACGAUUGGAGUUCUUCGAAUUGAGACUUCUUACCAACUCUACUCGAACUAUCUAAUUCAAUAUGAAACGGGGAAGCAACCUUAACAAAUGUCUGGAUAUGCCGCCUCCACCUGGGCCCGGAAAAGUGGAUAGCCCAGGAGAUGCUGCCUGGAUGAUGAGAGGGAUGAAAUGCGUGUCAAUGGUCUUAACUAAACAGGAUGCCGAAAACCCUGCAAAGUGGAGGAGAAAAAGCAAGGAAAGCGGACCCUGGGCACCGAAGCAAUAGCGGAGGAUUCAACCGAGAGGAAUAAACACUAAGAAGAGAGAAAAGGAUGAAACAGGGAAAACAGCCAAGAAAACGGAUUUUUAUGCGGUUUUCACCUAUGUAUCAAUAGAGUGCUUCUUGAGGAAGGUUUAGGUGUUUUAUUUGUUAAGUUUAUAUGUAACCCGUGCGAAGCCGGGCGGGUCGCUGGUAUACAAGAAGAUGGACCUAUUUAGGAUCAGUAAAAGCACGAUAUUUAUAAAAUGUUCACUAUUACAAUACUUCAAAGCAGCCAGUAGUUAUUUUAAAUAAUCUGAAUCACCAUUAGCCCUAAUUAUGCGUUGAGAUCAUUCACUUGGCGUUGAAAGGCCAUUACGAGAUGAACGGAUUGGAAGAAUUACACAAUGUAACAAAGUGUUAUCAGAUUGAGAUUUGGCGUGCGACCAGCCAGAUUUUGCAGUUCAAGGAAUUGAAUAAGGAUCGCUCUUUAUUAGAAAGCAUCGAUCAUACAUGAGCAUGAACCAGAGAGCGGGCGGAGGCGAGCGGCCGCCGCGCCGCCUCUAGAAGAACAGCACAAAUAUCCCGCAGUUCAAAAAUAGUCCGCCGGCUCGCCCGCUGCAUACAAAAGUGGCGAGCCGUCCGGCACACAUCUUGGCUUAUCAAAUUUCUCUACCCACACACGCCCGCGCCACACUUGGUUACCUACACGCCGCCGAGCCUUCAUGCGUUAGUAUGUUAGCACUCGCAAGCUAGCGUUUGUUACACUUCCUUGACACUUAAAGCACUGCGACAUCCGAAGCAACACUC